rnacentral:lncRNA from 10 species
AGCCCUGACCACAGUUCCGCCGCCAUCGGCCCUAGCCUGCGGAAUUGGGCUCGCCCCGGGACGAUAACAGAGCUCUGCCGGGGGCUGGAGGCACUGACCGGGUUUCAACAGAAAAUGAGAAAUAUCCCCCGACGAUUGGCUGAAAACAUGCAGCAACCACUAUUUUCUUCCUGCCCCUCGUUGAUGAGAGCAUUCGAAGUGACCUCAGCAGGGCAUCCAGAUCAAUUAUGCAGCUACAGCCAAAACCAAGUUCUUUUUAUUGCAAUGGUAAUGAAAGGAGCCCCGUGUAAGUCACUGGAAGGUCACAUGUUCACAGACUGUCAGCUGUGGAGGGUUAUGUAACAGUGGUUAUGCAAUGCCACGUUAGAACUACAGCC